rnacentral:rRNA from 1 species
AAAUUGAAGAGUUUGAUCAUGGCUCAGAUUGAACGCUGGCGGCAGGCCUAACACAUGCAAGUCGAACGGUAACAGGAAGCAGCUUGCUGCUUCGCUGACGAGUGGCGGACGGGUGAGUAAUGUCUGGGAAACUGCCUGAUGGAGGGGGAUAACUACUGGAAACGGUGGCUAAUACCGCAUAACGUCGCAAGACCAAAGAGGGGGACCUUUGGGCCUCUUGCCAUCAGAUGUGCCCAGAUGGGAUUAGCUUGUUGGUGAGGUAACGGCUCACCAAGGCGACGAUCCCUAGCUGGUCUGAGA